UCACAGACUACGCGAUGCACCCGCGGUGACUCCCUCACCCCGGGCUUCGCCUAGGCCUUCUCAGUAACCUUUUCACAGAAGUCUGACCGGCUCAGCAGGAUCUAGCCACUAUUCCAGAGGCACAUCUUAAUCAUAUCACAAACGGUCGUGAGCAGCCUGCAUCUUAGGGGCUCUAGAGGCCGUGGCUCCAUGACCUCUGUACCUUGAAAUACUGAAGAAGAGGGACAAAUUCCCUAGUAGAACCCUGAUACGAAAAGGGCAGGCAUUGACCAUACAUUCAGCUAAAAUGCUCAAGUCAACGGCUGCAGCCAGCUCUGAGGAUCCAUCUGGUACCUUCAAAGUAAAGUCACAAGAUAUUUCUGAGAGUCAUCCUGAAACUUCACAGCAUCAAACAGAUGAAAUCAGCUCCACUUUUGAUUCAGCAGAAGAGAAAUGUAAUGAGGAUGACCCGAGACAGAAGACUGUUUUAAAAAAAAGGAAGUAUCGGGUCAUGGAUGACUCGUAUCGUCUAAACAGGACCAUGAGAGAUAAGGAUUUCAAGCUAGCUAGGAGCAACUUCUAUUCCUUUAAGGACACUCUUGGAGACUGGGAUGAACGAUCUACUCAGUUGCUGAUUCAGCUCAUACAGAAAUACCCUCAAACAUAUUUUUUGUUGACUAUGAAAAAUGAAAGAAGAAUGAUCCACUGGGAAAAACUACAUAAAGAAAUGGAAGCAUAUGGUUACAAUUUUACUAUUCUUCAGCUUCGAAUGCGUUGGAGGGAAGUACUUCAGAAAUAUCGUUGGACAGUCAACUAUAAUGACUUUCAUGAAAUUAAGAAGAGAUGUGAAUACUUUGAUGAAAUGAAUGAACUCUGUGGUGACUGGGACAAGGAAGCUACACAGGCUCUUCUCAGACAAAUGCAUCAUAUUAAGAAGGAGAAUCAAGGGAAGAAGAUAGUAAGAAUUGGCUACAGUGGAUGGGAGAAAAUAACAGAAAAUUUGAACAUGGAAGGACAUAAGUACAGUAUACAUUUUUUUGCAUUUAUGUGGUUGAUUGGCAUUUUAUUUUCUUGCAUUAAUAUAAUUUUAGGAAAGGAUGAGUUACAGGUGCAUCCACUUCAGCUGCGCGUGGCUGCAGUGCUCAUCUCUGA